GACAGAGGGUGCAAACGUUGUUCGGAAUUACUGGGCGUAAAGCGCAUGUAGGCGGCCAAGCAGGUCGGAUGUGAAAUCCCUCGGCUCAACCAAGGAAGUGCAUUCGAAACCGCAUGGCUCGAGUCCCGGAGAGGAAGGUGGAAUUCUCAGUGUAGAGGUGAAAUUCGUAGAUAUCGAGAGGAACACCGGUGGCGAAAGCGGCCUUCUGGACGAGGACUGACGCUGAGAUGCGAAAGCGUGGGGAGCAAACAGG
rnacentral:rRNA from 1 species